rnacentral:lncRNA from 1 species
ACAAAAAGGGAGACAGAAAAAACGAGAUCGCACACAAAAAUGACCCUCUCACGUUUCUUUUUCUUCAUAAUCAAUCUCCAUUAGAGAAAAAGCAGCAGCGACACACGACCUCUUCCUCUCCCCUAACCGGUUCUUCUUCUCCAUGAACACGAGAGAGUCCUGAGACGAAAAUCUCCGAACACCAGCAACAACCAUAGCCGUCCUGUUCGAGCUCAGUCGAGACAAAUCCAGAUCUGGCAAAUUUCGAAUUCGUCAUAAGUUCCGAUCGAGGUUCACUGUUUCUCUUUGGUGAUUCUAUUUGAAAUCCUCUGUUACCGAUCCAUUCGAAUUGGCUUUAUUCACUUGUUGUAAUUGCUAAAGCUCUAUUAAUUGAAAGCUCACCUCAAGAGCUGUUAAUUUUUGGAUUUUACAAGUGAUAUUGGAAUUCGCUCUAUGAUUGUUGACGAAGUGUGAGGCUGUCAUACAAUUGCCCUUGAUUUUCAUGAAUAGGUCCUGUUUAUUCUGU